rnacentral:rRNA from 1 species
CCUACGGGAGGCAGCAGUGAGGAAUAUUGGUCAAUGGGCGCGAGCCUGAACCAGCCAAGUCGCGUGAGGGAGGACGGCCCUACGGGUUGUAAACCUCUUUUGCCGGGGAGCAACGGGCGUCACGUGUGGCGCCACUGAGAGUACCCGGAGAAAAAGCAUCGGCUAACUCCGUGCCAGCAGCCGCGGUAAUACGGGGGAUGCGAGCGUUAUCCGGUUUUAUUGGGUUUAAAGGGGGCGUAGGCGGAUCGUUAAGUCAGUGGUCAAAUUGAGGGGUUCACCCCCUUCCCGCCAUUGAAACUGGCGUUCUUGAGUGGAAGAGAAGUAUGCGGAAUGCGUGGUGUAGCGGUGAAAUGCAUAGAUAUCACGCAGAACCCCGAUUGCGAAGGCAGCAUGCCGGCUUCCGACUGACGCUGAAGCACGAAAGCGUGGGGAUCGAACAGGAUUAGAUACCCUAGGAGUC